CAUAAAAAUUGGUAUAUUUUAUUCAAAUUGAGAGUUAAAACAUUCGCAUUGAAAAUAAUAUAUUUUAUUCAAUAGUAUUUUUCGUCGGGUCUGAGUGUGAAUUUAAAAGUAUGCACUUUCAUCGUGAAAACUGUAGUAGUGUCAAACGAAGCAAGAAAGAAAACAAAAUACUCACUGGGCGAUAAAAAGAGAGCGCUAUAUUUUUGUUUUUUUUUUCACGCGCCGUGAGCGUGAAACCGAUUAGAAAGCUAGAAACUCUUGGUGAAACCAUUUUCUGCAUAGCGAUUUUUUUUUGUAAGUUUACAUUUACAGUUUACAUUUCACAUUUAAUCUUUGAAAAACUCGAAACAUUGGAGAACUGAGAUGGUGAACAUGCUUCUUUCACCGGAGCUACAGCUGCAGCAGCCAUGGAAAUUAGAAUUGGAGGUCGGGAUUUCAGCCAUUGCAGCCGAAACAUGGGCGGGAAAUCGGUCUUCCAACAUCGUUUAUCACCAGUUUCCCGAUUCAUCAUAGUUCUCGAAAAAUAGCAUUUUGAAGUCGAUUUCCUGUUUCCAGAAAACAAUAUAUCUAUGGCGCAAUAUUUCCUGCAUUACGUCCUUGACGAGCGACGUUGAAAGUAGUUUUAAGAGCUGCUACAUAAUUGUACAUGUUGAAUAAAAUUAUAAA